GAUGAACGCUGGCGGCGUGCCUAAUACAUGCAAGUCGAGCGAACGGACGAGAAGCUUGCUUCUCUGAUGUUAGCGGCGGACGGGUGAGUAACACGUGGAUAACCUACCUAUAAGACUGGGAUAACUUCGGGAAACCGGAGCUAAUACCGGAUAAUAUUUUGAACCGCAUGGUUCAAAAGUGAAAGACGGUCUUGCUGUCACUUAUAGAUGGAUACGCGCUGCAUUAGCUAGUUGGUAAGGUAACGGCUUACCAAGGCAACGAUGCAUAGCCGACCUGAGAGGGUGAUCGGCCACACUGGAACUGAGACACGGUCCAGACUCCUACGGGAGGCAGCAGUAGGGAAUCUUCCGCAAUGGGCGAAAGCCUGACGGAGCAACGCCGCGUGAGUGAUGAAGGUCUGCGGAUCGUAAAACUCUGUUAUUAGGGAAGAACAUAUGUGUAAGUAACGGUGCACAUCUUGACGGUACCUAAUCAGAAAGCCACGGCGAACUACGG
rnacentral:rRNA from 1 species